GAAAACUGAGAGCCCGAAUGCUUUCCUCCCCACGCCUCUCUCGGCCCUUAAGCUCAGGCCGCCAUCUCCGCCUCCAUGGCCAAUGGCCGGAGUUGCGCGAGAACGGCCCCUAGGCCUCCCCCUUUUGCGGCGUCCCCGAAGGCUAAGCCUUCUCAACCGUGAGAUCAAAAGGAAAAGGGAUGAAACGCCCCUUUUGGCUCGACUCCGACGACGGCAAGGGUGGGGUUCCGACACCAGCCCGUCGAAGCGGUAAGGUAUUUACUCCUUUCCCUUUCAGUUCCUUUUUCUUUGUUGAACGAUUGCGGAAAAAAAUAAACAAUAAAUAAAGAGUAAAGUAAAUAAGAAACAAGAACAGAGAAGAAUAAACUGGAGUCAACCUUUUUGAUCUGUUUUUCCUUUUUUGAAUUCAAAACGCUGUGUAAAAAAAAUUGUACAGAGAUAUUGUUUGGCUUUUAUAUCCUUUUCCAUUGUAUUUUGAUUGUAUUUUGCUGUCUUGCACUAUCUGUUGCGUGCUCCUGCUUUUUUCUAUCAUUUUUUUGCAGGCGUUGAUGAAGCUAGUAGCGGCGGGUGGCGAUGGGACAAAACGAAUGAUGAUGGCAGAGGGAUGGGCGCGGUGCUAGGCUUGGCUAGGGUUUCCGUUUUCUGAAACCCUUGACUGGGUUCUGGGCCUGUUGGGCUUAUUGGGCCGUUUGGGCUCUGUUAAUUGGGCCCGGGCAAUAAUUGGGCUGUACAGUUGUCUCUCUUUUUUAAUUAUUUUUAUCAUGUGUCACGCUACAAUUAU
rnacentral:lncRNA from 1 species